GGAUGUUAGCGGCGGACGGGUGAGUAACACGUGGGUAACCUGCCUGUAAGACUGGGAUAACUCCGGGAAACCGGAGCUAAUACCGGAUAGUUCCUUGAACCGCAUGGUUCAAGGAUGAAAGACGGUUUCGGCUGUCACUUACAGAUGGACCCGCGGCGCAUUAGCUAGUUGGUGAGGUAACGGCUCACCAAGGCGACGAUGCGUAGCCGACCUGAGAGGGUGAUCGGCCACACUGGGACUGAGACACGGCCCAGACUCCUACGGGAGGCAGCAGUAGGGAAUCUUCCGCAAUGGACGAAAGUCUGACGGAGCAACGCCGCGUGAGUGAUGAAGGUUUUCGGAUCGUAAAGCUCUGUUGUUAGGGAAGAACAAGUGCAAGAGUAACUGCUUGCACCUUGACGGUACCUUAACCAGAAAGCCACGGCUUAACUACGUGCCAGCAG
rnacentral:rRNA from 1 species